GGAAGGGUGGCCGAGUGGCUGAAGGCGCCGCUCUCGAAAAGCGGUAUACCGUUAUGCGGUAUCAAGGGUUCGAAUCCCUUCCCUUCCGCCA
rnacentral:tRNA from 1 species